UACGUAGGGUGCAAGCGUUAAUCGGAAUUACUGGGCGUAAAGCGCGCGCAGGCGGCUUUUUAAGUCCGACGGUGAAAUGCCGGGGCUCAACCCCGUGCCCGCCGCGGAUACUGGGAAGCUGGAGACGAGUAGAGGCAAGCGGAAUUCCGGGUGUAGCGGUGGAAUGCGUAGAGAUCCGGAAGAACACCGGAGGCGAAGGCGGCUUGCUGGGCUCGGUCUGACGCUGAGGCGCGAAAGCGUGGGGAGCAAACAGG
rnacentral:rRNA from 1 species